UCCUUCGUUUUCCAUCUUUCCUCUGAAUCACUGGGCGUAAAGCGCACGUAGGCGGCCUGGUAAGUCAGGGGUGAAAUCCCACAGCCCAACUGUGGAACUGCCUUUGAUACUGCCAGGCUUGAGUACCGGAGAGGGUGGCGGAAUUCCAGGUGUAGGAGUGAAAUCCGUAGAUAUCUGGAGGAACACCGGUGGCGAAGGCGGCCACCUGGACGGUAACUGACGCUGAGGUGCGAAAGCGUGGGUAGCAAACAGG
rnacentral:rRNA from 1 species